rnacentral:rRNA from 1 species
GGGAACUUCGGGCCAGUGGCGGGCGGAUUACGAGGUGGGCGGGCGGUGGUCGCAAACACUGGUCGGAAAGCCAACUGAGGCGGAGUGGUAAGGCUGGGGUUAAAGCCUGGUGCUCCACCUCAGAACGGCCUGCUAGACGGGCAAGCUCUAGGCCGGAAGAGGUGGGUGGAACAGCUGGUGUAGAGGGUAAAUUCGUAGAUAUUAGCUAGAACACCAGUGGCGAAGGCGUGCAACUGGUCCGGUACUGACGCUGAGGUGCGAAAGCGUGGGGAGCAAACAGGAUUAGAUACCCGAGUAUUC